UACGUAGGGUGCGAGCGUUGUCCGGAAUUAUUGGGCGUAAAGAGCUCGUAGGCGGUGUGUCACGUCGUUCGUGAAAACCUGCAGCUUAACUGUGGGCGUGCGGUCGAUACGGGCAUCACUGGAGUUCGGCAGGGGAGACUGGAAUUCCUGGUGUAGCGGUGAAAUGCGCAGAUAUCAGGAGGAACACCAGUGGCGAAGGCGACUACCUGGCCUGUUCUUGACGCUGAGGCGCGAAAGCUAGGGGAGCAAACGGG
rnacentral:rRNA from 1 species